rnacentral:rRNA from 1 species
CCUACGGGUGGCAGCAGUGAGGAAUAUUGGUCAAUGGGCGCGAGCCUGAACCAGCCAAGUAGCGUGAAGGAUGACUGCCCUACGGGUUGUACACUUCUUUUAUAAAGGGAUAAAGUGAGGCACGUUUGCCUUUUUGUAUGUACUUUAUGAAUAAGGAUCGGCUAACUCCGUGCCAGCAGCCGCGGUAAUACGGAGGAUCCGAGCGUUAUCCGGAUUUAUUGGGUUUAAAGGGAGCGUAGAUGGGUUGUUAAGUCAGUUGUGAAAGUUUGCGGCUAAACCGUAAAAUUGCAAUUGAUACUGGCAGUCUUGAGUACAGUUGAGGUAGGCGGAAUUCGUGGUGUAGCGGUGAAAUGCUUAGAUAUCACGAAGAACCCCGAUUGCGAAGGCAGCUUACUAAACUGUGACUGACAUUGAUGCUCGAAAGUGUGGGUAUCAAACAGGAUUAGAUACCCGAGUAGUC